rnacentral:rRNA from 1 species
GAUCGGCCACACUGGAACUGAGACACGGUCCAGACUCCUACGGGAGGCAGCAGUAGGGAAUCUUCCGCAAUGGGCGAAAGCCUGACGGAGCAACGCCGCGUGAGUGAUGAAGGUCUUCGGAUCGUAAAACUCUGUUAUUAGGGAAGAACAAACGUGUAAGUAACUGUGCACGUCUUGACGGUACCUAAUCAGAAAGCCACGGCUAACUACGUGCCAGCAGCCGCGGUAAUACGUAGGUGGCAAGCGUUAUCCGGAAUUAUUGGGCGUAAAGCGCGCGUAGGCGGUUUUUUAAGUCUGAUGUGAAAGCCCACGGCUCAACCGUGGAGGGUCAUUGGAAACUGGAAAACUUGAGUGCAGAAGAGGAAAGUGGAAUUCCAUGUGUAGCGGUGAAAUGCGCAGAGAUAUGGAGGAACACCAGUGGCGAAGGCGACUUUCUGGUCUGUA